rnacentral:rRNA from 1 species
GACGAACGCUGGCGGCGUGCUUAACACAUGCCAGUCGAACGCUGAAGCUCAGCUUUUGUUGGGUGGAUGAGUGGCGAACGGGUGAGUAACACGUGAGUAACCUGCCUCCUUCUUUGGGAUAACGCCCGGAAACGGGUGCUAAUACUGGAUAUUCACUGGUCUUCGCAUGGGGGUUGGUGGAAAGGGUUUUUCUGGUGGGGGAUGGGCUCGCGGCCUAUCAGCUUGUUGGUGGGGUGAUGGCCUACCAAGGCUUUGACGGGUAGCCGGCCUGAGAGGGUGACCGGUCACAUUGGGACUGAGAUACGGCCCAGACUGCUACGGGAGGCAGCAGUGGGGAAUAUUGCACAAUGGGCGCAAGCCUGAUGCAGCGACGCCGCGUGAGGGAUGGAGGCCUUCGGGUUGUGAACCUCUUUCGCUCAUGGUCAAGCCGCAACAAUGGUUGUGGUGAGGGUAGUGGGUAAAGAAGCGCCGGCUAACUACGUG